rnacentral:SRP_RNA from 1 species
CGGUAGGUAGGAUCGGGGGGCUAGCCCUACCCCACACCUCAAACGGGACAUAUGGAGGGAUCAGUAACCUGCAAAGGAAUCGGAAGCGCUCGGCGAAAGACACACCGCUCUUCGUCGAUGUCCUGCCCGGCGGGGUCGGCGGUUCACCUGUGUACGGUCGUAGGGCCGCAACUAGGUAUUAAAGGGGCGAACAUGGCCAGGCCCGGGAGGGAGCAACCUAAGUCCUAACGUUGGACGCUCGACGGAUCUCGGGACGGAGAAGGGUAAUGUGACCCUGCGCCGUGUUAAUCCGUGAACCGAGCGGGGGCUAUCG